AUUGAACGCUGGCGGCAUGCUUUACACAUGCAAGUCGAACGGUAACAGGUUAAGCUGACGAGUGGCGAACGGGUGAGUAAUGCAUCGGAACGUGCCCGAUCGUGGGGGAUAACGCAGCGAAAGCUGCGCUAAUACCGCAUACGAUCUGAGGAUGGAAGCGGGGGACCGUAAGGCCUCGCGCGAUCGGAGCGGCCGAUGUCAGAUUAGGUAGUUGGUGGGGCAAAGGCUCACCAAGCCAACGAUCUGUAGCUGGUCUGAGAGGACGACCAGCCACACUGGGACUGAGACACGGCCCAGACGCCUACGGGAGGCAGCAGUGGGGAAUUUUGGACAAUGGGCGAAAGCCUGAUCCAGCAAUGCCGCGUGCAGGAAGAAGGCCUUCGGGUUGUAAACUGCUUUUGUACGGAGCGAAAAGGUCUCCUCUAAUACAGGGGGCUCAUGACGGUACCGUAAGAAUAAGCACCGGCUAACUACGUGCCAGCAGCCGCCGUAA
rnacentral:rRNA from 1 species